CUCAACGGGGGGAGUGAACACCCAGGCAGCCCCUGGGGAGGGGGCAGGAGAGGAAUGGGGCUGAGGGGGGCAGAGGAGGGAGAGGGAGGCGAGAGCUGGGCAGGAGAAUAGUUAACCAGAGCAAGAGCGAGAAGUUGUUUUGUUUUUUUUUCCAGCUGGUUAAGCAUUUCCCAGCCAUACCACUGGCAUCCCAGGAAAAAGCCAGUUAGUGGGCACAGUAAGAAAUUAAUUAGGGUUUCGGGGCUGGUUUUGGCCAAUUGUUUUGAGCAAGGAGCAUCCGCCGCCGGGAGCUCGACUCUGACUUUCCGCCCUCACUCUGUGGCAGAGAUGGGCACCUGCGUUUCUGGGCUGCAGGACACCCAGCGCCAGACAGGGGAAAAGGAGCUAAAACUGGAACCCACCAUCAAAUCUCCCACCAAACCAGCGGUGAGAGCAGGGACUGAGCAACCCGGAGCCUACUAGGACGCGCAGCGGAUGAGAUAAUGCCGUGGCUUCUGCCGCAUCGACCCCGAGCGAGGACUUUCCCUACAAAAUGUGACCAUGGUUGCCAGCUGAAAUACAACACGGGGAUGAAAAUGGCCAUGGGAAGGACCGUAUGUACCUUCAAGCAUGGGAAAACUAAGUACCACCGAGCUGUCGAGGGAUGCUGGCAGGCAGGGCGGACCCGAGGAGCUGCUGCACCGAUCCGGCAGCUCCACAGCGUGGGUGUCACCGUGCCACAAGCCCUUGGUGGCCCUGGAAAGCCACAGGGGAAGAGGCCACGGCCGGCAGAGAAAUGCAGCACAGGAGCCAGAGGUCACUUCCCAUCGCCCUUCUGCAGCCUCAGCAGGGCAGGAAAAACCCCCCGCCGCACAAGACACUCUGGAAAACACCCUCCCUGCUCUGAGCUCUCCUUUCCACUUCCCUUAUUUGAAGAGCUGGGGCCGGCUCCGAAACUCAUCUGCUCCCCACCGGCCACUCGCAGCGGAGGGACGUGGUGCUGGGGGCUGCCAGGCACAGCCCCGCUUCUGCGCCGCGCCUCGGUCCACCCAGCCUGCAGGUAACUGCAGUGUCCCCCCACCGAGCCCCCCAUAGCUCCUGCCAGCCCACAGCCCCCAGGCAAACCCUGCCUGACCUGCCAGACUCUGCCUGGCCUCGGGGGAGGACAGAGAAGCACGGA